AUUGAACGCUGGCGGCAUGCUUUACACAUGCAAGUCGAACGGUAACAGGUUAAGCUGACGAGUGGCGAACGGGUGAGUAAUGCAUCGGAACGUGCCCGGUCGUGGGGGAUAACGCGGCGAAAGCUGCGCUAAUACCGCAUACGAUCUGAGGAUGAAAGCGGGGGACCGUAAGGCCUCGCGCGAUCGGCGCGGCCGAUGUCAGAUUAGGUAGGUGGUGGGGUAAAGGCUAACCAAGCCGGCGAUCUGUAGCUGGUCUGAGAGGACGACACGCCACACUGGGACUGAGACACGGCCCAGACUCCUACGGGAGGCAGCAGUGGGGAAUUUUGGACAAUGGGCGCAAGCCUGAUCCAGCAAUGCCGCGUGCAGGAAGAAGGCCUUCGGGUUGUAAACUGCUUUUGUACGGAGCGAAAAGGCUCUCUCUAAUACAGGGGGCUCAUGACGGUACCGUAAGAAUAAGCACCGGCUAACUACGUGCCAGCAGCCGCCGUAA
rnacentral:rRNA from 1 species